AGGCUGCCUUGGUUCAGCGGAAGGAGACUGGCACCUUCAGAGGAUCAUGACUCCCAUGCUCACAUUGUUGUCGAAAGCAGCUUGGAGUCAACACAGAGAACCUCAGCAAGAUUCACAGCAGGGUGUGGAGCAAGACUGUGACCUCCCACAUUGCAGGGCUUAUAAAGAUCUGGAAGGGAUGGACAGCUGAAUUUUGCAAUGAGAAAAUGUGUUCUUCAUGUCCUGAUUUUCCACUGAAAAGUAAGCAAGUAGAAUAUGAGCAAAAACAGCGCUGGACGACAGGGGAGUCCGUGCUCCACCAACUGCCGUACUGAGUAGAACAGACUGUCCCUUUUUAUACAUCCUGACUCCCGGGUUCAUGGAGUGGUGGAGAUACUAUGUUCCAACUGUUGCUGGGGUUUAGAGUGGUGGAGAUACUCUGCGCAUGUGCCAACUGUUGCUGGGGGGUCGUCUCUCCCGGUGGAUGCCGAGGCCGAAGCGAGGAGUCCUCCCCCCCCCGUCCUGCGGCCGACCCCCCCCUCACCCUCAUGUCCUUAUACGGAGUUGUUUUUCUUCUGUUAUCCGACCUUUAAGUCUUAAUAAACAAUAUACUUAGCUCAUA